rnacentral:rRNA from 1 species
UACGAGAGGCGCAACCGUUAUUCGGAAUUACUGGGCUUAAAGAGUUCGUAGGCGGCGCAGCAAGUAGGGUGUGAAAGCCCUCGGCUCAACCGAGGAAUUGCGCUCUAAACUACUGUGCUUGAGGGACCUAGAGGUGAGCGGAACUGAUGGUGGAGCGGUGAAAUGCGUAGAUAUCAGGAGGAACACCUGUGGCGAAAGCGGCUCACUGGACCACAACUGACGCUGAGGCGCGAAAGCUAGGGGAGCAAACAGG